ACCCUGGUAGUCCACGCCGUAAACGAUGAGUGCUAAGUGUUAGGGGGUUUCCGCCCCUUAGUGCUGCAGCUAACGCAUUAAGCACUCCGCCUGGGGAGUACGACCGCAAGGUUGAAACUCAAAGGAAGUGACGGGGACCCGCACAAGCGGUGGAGCAUGUGGUUUAAUUCGAAGCAACGCGAAGAACCUUACCAAAUCUUGACAUCCUUUGACCCUUCUAGAGAUAGAAGUUUCCCCUUCGGGGG
rnacentral:rRNA from 1 species